UAAGGAAUAUUGGUCAAUGGAGGCAACUCUGAACCAGCCAUGCCGCGUGAAGGAUUAAGGCCCUCUGGGUUGUAAACUUCUUUUAUAUGGGAAGAAAUGUUCUGAUUCUUCAGAGCUUGACGGUACCAUAGGAAUAAGCACCGGCUAACUCCGUGCCAGCAGCCGCGGUAAUACGGAGGGUGCAAGCGUUAUCCGGAUUCACUGGGUUUAAAGGGUGCGUAGGUGGGCAGAUAAGUCAGUGGUGAAAUCUUCCGGCUUAACCGGAAAAUUGCCGUUGAUACUAUUUGUCUUGAAUAUUGUGGAGGUAAGCGGAAUAUGUCAUGUAGCGGUGAAAUGCUUAGAUAUGACAUAGAACAUCAAUUGCGAAGGCAGCUUACUAUAUAAUUAUUGACACUGAGGCACGAAAGCGUGGGUAGCGAACA
rnacentral:rRNA from 1 species